UCUUCGGAGAGUUUGAUCCUGGCUCAGGAUGAACGCUGGCGGCGUGCCUAAUACAUGCAAGUCGAGCGAACUGAUUAGAAGCUUGCUUCUAUGACGUUAGCGGCGGACGGGUGAGUAACACGUGGGCAACCUGCCUGUAAGACUGGGAUAACUCCGGGAAACCGGAGCUAAUACCGGAUAA
rnacentral:ncRNA from 1 species